CUCGCUGAAUCUCCGAGUGUGGAGAACGGGGGAACCGACCACGGCAAUUCAUGAGAUUAUGAAUGAGCAUGUCGUGAAGGAUUUCUUUGUAAGGGUCUAUGGGGUGAAUUCGAGGUCAUUGCGCCAUGAGCGAAUGAACUAAGAAAGGGCGACUCUCUACGUCCUAACCCGACAGCUAACCUCGUAGGCGUAUCCAGAGAGG
rnacentral:sRNA from 1 species